rnacentral:tRNA from 1 species
CAGUGGUCUAGUGGUAGAAUAGUACCCUGCCACGGUACAGACCCGGGUUUGAUUCCCGACUUAACAAAA